GAAGAACUAGACAUAAAAUCAGCAAGGGGUAUAUUAGUCACACACACACACACACACACACACACACACACACGGAUAGAUAUGGAGACAGAUGCUGAGACAAAGAGAUAGACAAAGGCAGAGACACAGACAAAGAGAGACAGAAAUAGAAAGACAGGAAUUGGCUCGUGCAAUUGCAGAAGCUUGGAGAUUCUAAAAUCUGAAAAUCUGAUAGCAUUGGCCUGCAGCCUGGAGACUCCUGGAAGAGCUGCCCUGGAAGUCAAAGCAGUUUCCUGGAAGAAUCCCUUCUUGCUUGUGGGAGAUUCUGCAUCAGUCUUCCUCCAUCAUGAAUAUCCAUCUGGUAGCAGUGGAAGGUAUUCGAGUUACAUGGCACCAAAAUAUGUUACCAGCAGGUCUGCAGCAACCUCAUUCUUGCCUCCUCAGAAGAAAGAAUUUGAAGGACAUAAGGGAGAAGGAGAGACCAAGGGAGACUGCCUUUCUCUGGCACUGACUGUGACCAAUGAUUAUUUUAGAGAAACAGUUAACAACUGCCUGACCAUCAACUGAUGGUCGUCUGACAUUCCAGGUGGUGCGGGAAGCCCUCUCCUGCCCUGCUCAUGCCUUACUAGCUACCUACUGUAACACACCUUGUCUUUAAGUAAAUGUGUCUGUUGUCCCUAUGCUUUGUAAAACUUACCCUCACAAACCCAAAGUUGACUUGUAAAGCCUAUAUCUAUCUUUGUCUUCUUGUUUUCUUUAGAAUUUAGAUCAAAACUUAUCUAUUAGGGAGGCUAUUUCCACAGAUUAGUGUGGUCCCAUAAAAUUUAUUUUCACUCCAUUAAUUAAGGUUAGAGAGCAGCACUGUGUGGUGUUUAAGAACUGGUUUUGAAUCAAAUUGCUUGUUUGAAUCUUGACUCUACUACUUACCAUCAGUACCAAAGGCUUGGAAUAAUUUAUGACACAUAAUAAGUGUUCAUUAUAUGUGUGUUUGAAUGAUGAUUUUUAACACCAUGCAUAGAAAUUUGAACUAUUGUAACUGCCUAAGGGGUUCUUCCUGCCCACUGCAUAAAAAGAGACCACAGUAUCUUAGUAAAGAAAGAGUUUUAUAGACACUAGGCCAGCCACGCCAUAUGGGAGAUUGGCGUUGGUACUCAAAUCAUCUCAUGCAAAGCUUAUAGGUUAGAGGAUUUUUAAAGGCAGUUUGGGGGAAGGGGUGGCAGUGGCUAGCUGUUUGUUGCUGAUUGGUUGGGUUGGAGAUACAAUCAUAGGAGACGGGAGCUGUCUUCCUGUGAGCUGAAUCUCUUCUGGGUGGGGACAUAGGAGCUAAGUUGGAGGGUCCAGGUGGGGCCUUCAAGGUGGAGCCAUGGCAGACAUGCAAAAACCUGAAAAGAUUUCCCAGGAGUAAUUGGGGAAGCAGCAUAUCUUAUAACCUUCCAGAAUAAUGCCUGACAAUUGUCUAUGUCUGCGCCUUAGCAGCACUCCGUUUCCUCUCCUCUCCCCAGCCUGAUGCCCUCCUAUUAGCUUUACAAAAGCUAUUGAGUUUUGGGCAAGGCCUAUUAUCAUUUAAACUAUAGCCUGAAUGACUUCCAAAGUUAGCUUGGCCCAGUAGCCUAGGAUUAAUUAAGGGAAAGGCAAAAUGGUGGUUGUGCUAGCUUAGCUUACUAAUAUAAUUUUUCUCACUAAUAUAUUUUUUGCAAAGUCGAUUUCACUGUAAACAAGGCCUACACAGGUCUAUUGGUUUCUAGUCAAAUACAGUAUUAAGAAGUUACUGUUAAUCAAGCACUGUGUCUAUUACUAGAGAAAAAACACAUCACCACCACCACCACCACCCCCACCAAGUCCCCUGGCACUGACUUUUUGUUUUUUGUUUACAUGUAGGUAGGAAAUUUUGUUUUGUUUUGUUUUUUUGACAGUGUCUAACUCUUGUCUCCCAGGCUGGAGUGCAGUGGCAUAAUCUCCGCUCACUGCAACCUCCGUCUCUCACGUUCAAGCGAUUCUCCUGCCUCAGCCUCCCAAGUAGCUGGGAUUACAGGUGCCUGCCACCACGCCCAGCUAAAUUUUGUAUUUUUUCAAGUAGAGACAGGGUUUUACCAUGUUGGCCAGGCUGGUCUGAAAUUCCUGAUCUCAAGUUGUAGCAGAACGAGCCGCAGACAAAACCCCUCAGACACUGAGUUAAAGAAGGAAGGGCUUUAUUCGGCCAGGUGCAUCAGCAAGACUCACAUCUCAAAAACCGAGCUCCCCAAGUGAGCAAUUCCUGUCCCUGUUAAGAGCUUACAAUUCUAAGGGGGUCCACGUGAGAGGGUUGUGAUCGAUUGAGCAAGCAGGGGGUAUGUGACUGGGGGUUUCAUGCACCAGUAAUCAGAACAGAACAGAACAGGACAGGGAUUUUCACAGUGCUUUUCCAUACAAUGUCUGGAAUCUACAGAUAACAUAACCGGUUAGGUCAGGGGUGGAUCUUUAACUACCAGGCCUGGAAUGCAGCACUGGGCUGUCUGACUACUGAUUUCACUUCUGUCUUUUCUUUAACUCCUACCUUUUCUUUGAGGCAGAAAUUGGGCGUAAGACAAUAUGAGGGGUGGUCUCCUCCCUUAAAGUGAUCCAUCUGCCUCAGCUUUCCAAAUUGCUGGGAUUACAGGCAUGAGCCACUGCCCCCAGACUAUUUUGUUUACUUCUAGUUUAAGUGGGUAAAAUUUAAGACAACAGAAGAACACUGAAGAAAUGUAGAAUGGAAGGAAAGAAUAGAGAAAGACAGUAUAAUGUAUCAAAUAAUAACUGACACUAGCAAGACAUUUCAUAAUAUGAACUAACUCCUUAUCUAAUUCUUAGCUGGUAUUUUCAUCAACCUUGAAAAUAUGAAGAUCAGUAUUGACAGCAAAGAUUCCAUCUUUGAUGUGUUAUAUUUUUGUCAAUUAUUAAACUUAUUGACACUUGUAUAAUGUUAUUAAAGAAUUUGGUACUACGAAUAAGUCUGCAAUAAUACUAAUUGUGUGUGUGUGUGUGUGUGUGUGUAUCAGUAUAUAUCAGUUAUUCUAAAUAACUAGUGAGUGUUUUAAAAAGUGUUUUGGUUAAAAACUACUACCUACGUAAAAACAAAUACAUUUUUGUGUGAUGAUGUAUGGACACAUGUUCAUUUAUUAAUGGGAAAAAGAUUUGAGAAAAAGAGAGGAUAAAAUAGGUACUUCUGUCUACUUGAAGUGAGUAAAACUGAUCAGUUAAACUUCAGCUUUAUUAGAAAAUUUAAGUUUAAAGUGAUCAAAUAUGUGGAGGAAAUUCAGCUAAAAAUUUCUAAGUAGAAAUAUAUAGUUUUACAAAUUGCAACAAAAUGAAGCAAAGAAAACUCAAAACAUCAAAACAUAGGAAAAGACAUGUAUAAUCAAACUAAUAAAAUGAUAGAUUAACAUGAAACAAAAUUAUAAAAUAUUUUCAUUCACCUCAGAAAUCACAAUCACAUGAAUAGGUUAAAGCUACUAAUGUAAAGGCACUGUCUUCCUAUUGGAAUUUCACUCCCUCUCCCUCUCCUCAAAGGCUCUAUGUCUUUGACAUGAGAGGGCUUUAAAACUAAAUGAUACAAAAAAACUUAAAAAUAAAUGUAGUAGAAAGAUAUACCAAAUGUAUAUCACCAAAAUUAAGGUUGAUUUAUUAUUUGUAUUGUAAAACAAAUGAAGAUUUCAAGGUGUAUAGUAUUCAAAGGACAAAAAUUAUAUUUUAUAUUGAUAAAAGCCCUUUUUCCACACAAGUCAAUAACCUUAUUCUUACAAUUUUUGAUACAAACACAUUAUUAUUUGAUCAGAAUAUUGUGUGCAGUUUGCACUUUUUGUAUUGUCCGUUAUCAGCCAAAGAAACAGCUAUUUCUCCAAUUAUCAACUUUUUUAUUAUAUUGGAGAGUGGUUUUUAAAACCAAGAUCUGGGUGCUAUGUGGACAUGUAGUUCCUGGGAGGUCAUUGUGUCUAGAUUAUUUCAGAACAAAAAAUAUACUGAAAAUACUGAAAUAUAUACUAAAAAAUAUGCUGA
rnacentral:lncRNA from 10 species